rnacentral:rRNA from 1 species
AGCGAACGCUGGCGGCAGGCCUAACACAUGCAAGUCGAACGAAGCCUUCGGGCUUAGUGGCGGACGGGUGAGUAACACGUGGGAACGUACCUUUUGGUUCGGAACAACUCAGGGAAACUUGAGCUAAUACCGGAUGAGCCCUUAGGGGGAAAGAUUUAUCGCCGGAAGGGCGGCCCGCGUUAGAUUAGCAAGUUGGGGAGGUAAAGGCUCACCAAGGCUACGAUAUAUAGCUGGUCUGAGAGGAGGAUCAGCCACACUGGGACUAGGACACGGCCCAGACUCCUACGGGAGGCAGCAGUGGGGAAUCGUGCGAAAGGGGCGAAAGCCGGACGGAGCCAUGCCGCGUGAAUGAUGAAGGUCUGAGGAUUGUAAAAUUCUUUUACCAGGGACGAUAAUGACGGUACCUGGAGAAAAAGCCCCGGCUAACUUCGUGCCAGCCGCCGCGGUAAUAC